rnacentral:rRNA from 1 species
AGUGAACGCUGGCGGUAGGCCUAACACAUGCCAGUCGAACGGCAGCACAGUAAGAGCUUGCUCUUACGGGUGGCGAGUGGCGGACGGGUGAGGAAUACAUCGGAAUCUACUCUUUCGUGGGGGAUAACGUAGGGAAACUUACGCUAAUAACGCAUACGACCUACGGGUGAAAGCAGGGGAUCUUCGGACCUUGCGCGAUUGAAUGAGCCGAUGUCGGAUUAGCUAGUUGGCGGGGUAAAGGCCCACCAAGGCGACGAUCCGUAGCUGGUCUGAGAGGAUGAUCAUCCACACUGGAACUGAGACACGGUCCAGACUCCUACGGGAGGCAGCAGUGGGGAAUAUUGGACGAUGGGCGCAAGCCUGAUCCAGCCAUACCGCGUGGGUUAAGAAGGCCUUCGGGUUGUAAAGCCCUUUUGUUGGGAAAGAAAAGCAGCAGGUUAAUACCCCGCUGUUCUGACGGUACCCAAAGAAUAAGCACCGGCUAACUUCGUG